AUUUGGCGCAAUGCCAAUGUCGUGUGUCGCAUACGGCUGCAGUUCACGUGACAGUCCCAGUAGGACAGUGCGGUUUUUCCUUUUUUCGUCGAUAAAACGGGAUCGACAGCGCCGUGAAGCCUGGAUUAGGGCUGUGAUGCGGCAAGAUGCGCAAGGGCGCAUCUCGAUUCUGCGGGAAGCACUUUGUGACAGGGGCGCCUUCACUGUCACCCAGACAUCCGGACUUCCUACCGACGCUGUUCGUGUAUACAGACCAGUUCAGAAAGAAGGACGCGGUCGACCGCCAUGUUCGUACCGCGGCGCGUUCCAAGAGGAAAACAGGCGCUCCACCAACAGCAGGUGCAGAGGCUUCAGGACAAGGAGGAACUUGUAAAUGUCACAGUGAUGGGGAAGCAGACACGUCCUGUGUUCAGGGUGAGCAGUGGCUUUUGAACUAAUGGCAAGCACACUGUCACAUUAUGCAGCUGGGAAUGUUUUCUGAGGCUCACCUUAUGUUGCUCAUUGCGAGUCUUGCCCGUUUGCAACAUAUGAAUUAUCCAUAAUUUGCU